UACGGAGGAUGCAAGCGUUAUCCGGAUUUAUUGGGUUUAAAGGGUGCGCAGGUUGUUUUAUAAGUCAGUGGUGAAAGUCUGUCGCUUAACGAUAGGAUUGCCAUUGAUACUGUAGGACUUGAGUAUGGAUGAGGUAGGCGGAAUGUGUAGUGUAGCGGUGAAAUGCAUAGAUAUUACACAGAACGCCGAUUGCGAAGGCAGCUUACUAAUCCAUGACUGACGCUGAGGCACGAAAGCGUGGGGAUCAAACAGGAUUAGAAACCCCGGUAGUCC
rnacentral:rRNA from 1 species